CCUUCCAGUAUCACACUGGGAAGAAGAAAGAUUGACAGGUGCUAUUCCCCCACCCAGUUACCACUGGGGAAAUAGCUGGACUAUGGAACUGGGAGAUACUUCCUCCCCAGAAGAUGGAAAACACAGAUGGUGAUGUGGCCAGAGGGCUGAAUCACGAAGAGGAUGCUACGGUUCCUGGACUGAGGCAGGUCUGCAGGAGAAGGUGGUAGGAGAGGCAACACCACCAAGAGAGGGCAUACUGGCUGAGAGAGCUAAUCCCCAAGACAACUCCAUCACAAAUUCCCAUUCAGUUUUCACCCAUGAAUACCAUUGCUGAGGCCAGGGAACCAAUGAGGACAGAAACAAACAGCUCUAGAAAAUGGCUAAAUGGCAGCAACUUGCUUGAAUUACAUUAACAAGGUAUCUUUCCAAUGUCACUGUGGAGCUGGGAGAACAAAUUGCCAAUAGCCCAUUGAUUUUUAACCCCGGCUAGAUAUUGAUCUAACCCCAAGACAAAAUGUCCAAAGAGGAAGCACUGUAAAACAAGAAAUGAAAUUAACCACAUAUCUAACAUCUGCUUGUUCUUAAAAUUCAUACCCAUUCGAAGUGAUCCCUGCUGCUGCUCAAAAGUGAAUGUCAGAACAACCAACCAAAAAACAAAGAAAAAUGCAUAACUGCAUAUUUGAACAAACUGGGGAGAGCAAAUUAAAUUAUA